GCGGUCCCACUCCCGUCUAAAUAUUGCCGCCGCCACUAUUGUAAUACUGCAAUAGGCACUUCUUUCAAUCGUUGAGUAACCGCGGUCGGGCGCUGUUUAGUUUAUGUGUGUGCAUACGUCGUAUGAUUCGGUUCAAAAUCGGUAUGGCGAUUUAUUGAUAUUCUAAAUUAUUUAAACUGUGGGCAUAUAAUUAUUAUAAAAGUGGCAGUGGAUUGAAUUAACGGACCGCCUCUGUUUGCAUUGACACCGAGGAAAUUAUCAAUAAAGUCAUUGCCCUCAAUUUUUCGUUUUACUUGGACAAAAUGACGAAAGGCGGUUUGUCGCCGGUGCUCGUCGAACACAGCGGCAACAAAAUGGACGGGAACGUUGCCGCGACUCCGACGUCUAAAAAGCGUGGUUUCUUCAGCGGUUCGUUUCGGCGUCGCCGGACAUCCGACAUAAAAAUCAAUGACACGAUAAUCAUUAACGAAAACGUGGUGUUUAACGGCAACAACAAAAACGGCGUCAGCUCCACGGAUGGUGGAAAGACCGUCGAGAACGGUAAAAGCGUCGACGUCACCGAACAGCAACUUGCCGUGAACGAUAAAAAGCCACCGUUGCAAAAAAAAGAGCCCGUGAUGGACGUAAAAAAAACAGCUCCAGUGGCAGUCCACCAACAGAAGGAUAUAGAGAGCAAACAACUACAAGCCGAUAAGAAAAAAAUUGCGGCGGAGGAUAAGAAAAAAGCUGUGACAAAAAGAGGUAAAACGUACUGUAGUGGUUGUAAGAAAAAAUGCUCUGGUGAAGUACUCAAAAUUAAAGGUGAUAAAUACUUCCACAUUGACUGUUUCAAAUGCAAAAUUUGUAGCUGUUCAUUAGUGCAAGGGUUAUUUUUUUCUGAAGAAGGUAGUUGGUAUUGUCCUGAUGAUUAUCAAAAAUUAUUUGGUAAAAAGUGCACUGUUUGCAAUGAUUAUAUUAAAGAUGAAUUGGUUAUUGUUUUGGAACGAACAUAUCAUCAACAGUGUUUCACAUGUACUCAUUGCAGACAACCAUGUCCAAAAGGAGAUCUAGUAACAUAUGUAGGAAAUUCUAUUCUUUGUUCUAAGUGCAAAGAGAUUCCUGUUAAACGGCCGGUAUCUGCACAAUCAAAACAAAAUAGCACUAAUGAAACAGAUUGUGCUGAAUGUGGUGAUGAUCUUAGGAAUGGACAAGCACUUUAUGCUUUGGACAGACAAUGGCAUAUUUAUUGUUUUAAGUGUCAUGAAUGUUCUGCUGUACUUCAUGGCGAGUAUAUGGGACGGGAUGGUGUUCCUUACUGUGAAAAAGACUAUCAGAAGCUUUUUGGAGUCAAAUGUACAUAUUGCAGUAGAUUUAUAUCUGGAAAAGUUUUACAAGCUGGUGAUAAUCAUCAUUUUCAUCCAACGUGUGCAAGAUGUGCUAAGUGUGGUGAUCCAUUUGGGGAUGGUGAAGAAAUGUACUUACAAGGCGGAGCAAUUUGGCAUCCACGUUGUGGGCCUAGUCCGACUGAAAAUGGCACUAUAAUAAAUGGAGGAUCAAGUGCUAUGCUUAACGGACAUUGCAAUGACCCUGAAGAGUAUGAUCGAAUCAGUUGCUCAGCUGCUAGUGAAACACAGUUUUCAUUACGAUCUCGAUCUCGUGCUUCAAGCUUUAAUGGUUCAUGUUAUAAUGGUUCAUGUAAUAGCAUGAGUAGAAAGCACUAUUAUCGUGAUAUACCUGGAAGUCCAGGUCUAUUGCUUCGAGAAUAUAAAACAUCUAAUGUACCUAUAAGUCGUAUCUACACUUAUAGUUACUUGACUGAAGAGCCAACUCAAGGAUAUUUGAAACGCCCAAUCGACCCAUACGAUAAGCAGCCUACAUCGCCUCAUUUCCACAGACCAACAUCUUGUGGUAGUGUACGUGGAAGUAGUAAGUGUUCAACUUUACGUUCAGCUGGCAGUCGUUCUGGUAUGAAAGCUUUAGUUGACAGUAUUAGAUCAGAGACUCCUAGACCAAAAUCACCUCAUAGUAUGAACAAUGAAGAACCUAUAGAAUUGGCUCACUAUCCCGCUGCUAAACCACCAGCACCUGGUGAAAAACCAAAAAUUGAAAGAGAUGAUUUUCCUGCUCCUCCAUGUCCAUAUACUGAUCCAGAAAAACGUAAAACAUGGUUUGAAAACUAUAAAGGUAUAUCAGAUGAUGAAGAUGAAGUUGAUCAAAAAAUGAAUGCUGAUAAAGCAAUAGAUCCUAAACUAAAGAAAGAAGAGGAAGAACUAAGUAAAUUAGGAUCAGGAAUUGGAAAAGUAUUUUUGCAAGAAGUUCGUGAACGCGAAAAACAUCAAAAAUGGAAAGUUUCACACAUGGAUCCUCGCAAUGCUUCAAGAUGUCCUUCUGCUGCACGAGAGCCGACUUAUCGUCUUAGAUACCAGUCGCCGAUAAAUGCUUCACCAUCUCGUAAUUUGGAUCAUCAAAGACCUUGGGAAGAAGAAGGUGGUUAUUUAGACACAAGUUACAGAUCAUCAGUUGGACAAUCUACUGGUGCUAUUCCCAGUUACAACAGAUGGGUUUUCCAUAAACGGCUUAGACAAUAAAACACUUAGCACAGAUUUUAACUGCGCUAGGUCUGACGUUUCUGCCGGAUCUAUAUCUGAAGUGGAUCAAGGCAACACGUGUUCUGAAAUACCAGCAUCAUCUACAUUUACUGGAUCGCUGCGCUAUGUUACUAAUAUUCAUCGUUCACUACCCAACAUGUCUUCAUCGCAUCACAG
rnacentral:misc_RNA from 1 species